rnacentral:rRNA from 1 species
UACGAAGGGGGCUAGCGUUGCUCGGAAUCACUGGGCGUAAAGGGUGCGUAGGCGGUUCUUUAAGGCAGGGGUGAAAUCCUGGAGCUCAACUCCAGAACUGCCUUUGAUACUGAAGAUCUUGAGUUCGGGAGAGGUGGGUGGAACUGCGAGUGUAGAGGUGAAAUUCGUAGAUAUUCGCAAGAACACCAGUGGCGAAGGCGGCUCACUGGCCCGAUACUGACGCUGAGGCACGAAAGCGUGGGGAGCAAACAGG